rnacentral:lncRNA from 1 species
CAAAGAACAAUAAGUAGAGCAAAGUCAUAACUAUAGUCUAAACAAAAUUAUAUAUAAAGUAAUACAAGAGAGAUUACAAGGAUUUACCAAGCAAUGUUCCCGAUAGAUCGGGAAUCUGGUGGAAGCGUACCUCCUCUCUACUACUAACCUAUGUAACUAGGCUCUAGAUUUGGUGGAGCUCUAAGGAGACUAGGGUUUCUAGCUCUGAUGACAUGAAUCAAAUGACUUUGUCCUCUCUAGGGGGAGGGGCUCAGUUUAUAUAGGCCGAUGGAGUGAACUGCAGCCUUGGAUGAAACCGACUUGAAUGGAUGGAGUAGAUCAAUCCUUGAAGGCGGUGGAGGAUCAUGGCAGAAGAGCGCUGAUAGGUAGGCCCCACCUAGGGCGGCCACCCUAGGGGCCAAGGCGGCAGACCUGGCUCUGUUGUAGGUGGGCCUCGGCUUCGCUGACAUGUCUUCUCCUAUAUUCUAGAUUCUUCUCCAUUUGGUUUCACUAGAAAAUAUUCUUUUUAGCCCAAUAUUCUUCAUAUCUCAUCCGUAUUUCCACAUACACCCCUACAGAACAUAGAUUCUACAAAACUAUGGAUUCUAUUAGAUAACGCCCUAUACCACUUUGAUAUUAUGUUGUAUUGAUCUUUUUAUAAUUGGUUGACGUUUGCUUUAUGGUAGUUAAGGACUGUCAACAAGCUCCCACGAGCUUACCCUUUACUAGUCCCUAGCAAAGCCAAAUUUAGCAAAGUUGGUCAGGAGUUGCUGCUACAUACCUUCACACCUCAAAAGUACACAUGUGUUCAAACAAAAAUUCUCCUCCGAAUUAGAGUAAACUAUUCUAACUUUCAAACUUACCCAUAUUACCUUUAACCAUGGGGCUUGUAGCUAUUCCUUGGGUCUUGAGCAGUUGAAAGAUAGAACAAUCAAGUCAAGCACUAUGUCUCAAGUUUUUGCUCAACUAUUAUUCUAGAGUUUUUAUAGAUUUUCAAAAUAAAACUCAGAGUUUCCUUUGUAUGACUCUCUUAAGUCUCUAAAUAUGUGGUGUUUAUGGAUCCUUACCAAGGCAAUAAUAGUGGUAUGCCUUCUCUAUCUUACCCUACAACUAAUAAGGCUUAUGUGAAGUUCAUAGGUGGGGAGAUAGCGCAUACAUACUUCCAAAACAUAUAUUCCAAAGUCAAACAAUGGAUCCAAAGAAUACGAGUCAUACAAUUAAAUCAAGAUAUAGGUAUGUAUGAGGAGUGAGUGGAUAUAUGGUGAAAAGGGUUGUAAGUUGUAUUUUAGGUGGUAAUAGGGAAUCCUAAUUCUACUUUUGCUCCUUAAAGGGAAUAUUUCUCUCUUAUGAAACUUAGAAACAUUUGCUAGAGAGCAUGGGCUACCUUAUUUCUCUCUUUUUCUUUUUGACACUUGUCCAUUUUUCUCAUACUUUUUAUUUUUCUCUCUUUUUUUCAAAUACUUUUGCAUAGCCACAUGUCUCUCUUUUUGCAAUAGAACUUUUUAGAGAUAAGAACGAUAUUUGGAGCAUUUAUUUGGUGGCUAGAACGUUGACAAUGGAUUAAUAGGGAAUACGAAAUAUUUUUGUGGUGUUCACUCUUAGUGUAAGAGUGGACAUUUUUUAUGGAUAGCAAUGGUAAAGGAUGGUAUAGGAUUGUGUACUUCCAGAGUAGAAGCAGCAUAUAUGGGUUGAGUGUGUGAUCUUAAUUUUAAAAGCAUGACAAGUCUCUAAGGGUCAAUAAAGCUUGACAACACUCAAUGCAAAUACAAGCAGUAAAUAUAUGUGAGUGGGUUUCCUAAUCUAUUAUGUAUGGCUAUGGUAGGAAUUCGAGCUCUAUCACAUAAGGAACUCAUCAUGUAGCAUUUUAAAGUUUUCAAAAGUUAAAUCUCUAGAACUCUAGUGUUACUAGGAACGAGAUAAAUAGCAGCUCGGACCUUCUUAUAUCAUAUCCAUCAAUUGCCUAGACUUAGAUCAAGCAUUUACUAUCCAGGAGUUUUAGGUUCAGAGUAAAUCUUAGAUCAAAACAGUUUUAGGUACUUGAAAGGCAUUAUAGUAGGGCAACUAUUCAAUAUUUCCAAACAACUAAAUUUGACUAGAGCUUUAUUUAGACACAAUCUUAUUUGUCACACCCAUAUUUUAAGAACAAAAUAGGAUGCAUAAAAGACUCAUAUGUGCCCCAGAAACAGUCACAUACAUAAGUAGACAAAUCUCAAAAGUACCAUUGCAGUGUUUAUUGCAUAGCGGAACAUAAUAUAUCACAGUCUCAUACAAAAAUGAUAGCAUUAAGUAAACAACGCUCUCGACGGUAGCUCCACACAGGGACAUUGUUGACUGGUUGACUUCAAACCUAAUACUCAUAGCGAUAGUCCUCAUUCCAAUCAUCAUCAUUAGCAUAACUUGGGGUGUUGGGAAAUUACAAGAGUGAGCACAUGUCGUACUCAACAAGUAUAACCAGGGGUUCAUGAGGCUCAAAUAGCUGACACUGGUUUGACUGCAUUUAGCUUUUAAUGGUAGAUAGCAUGUGCAUAAUUAAAUAGCAAAUGUCAAGGUAGCAUAAAUAAUCCAUUAAUCACAUGAUCAAGUGUAAGCAUAAUUAAUCUCAUAGCAUAAACGACAAUCAAAUGAACAUAACAACUUAAUAAGCUCAUCGUCGUCGCAGCAAGAACCCCCAAGGCUGCUCAUAACCGUGAGCACGCUAGUAUACUAGUUUUAACACUCUGCAGAGGUUGUACAUCUUUACUCAUGAGUCAUGAUUUACCCUUUCGCCCGAGGAAGCUAGUCUCUUAACCCCCUUCCUAGGGAGGUCGUCAGGGAUCACUAUGAAGCCUUUCAAAAGUUCGUCUAACAUGUUAGGGCCGCAAGGUUUCCUUUGCGCGCAGAUAUAGAUACCCCCUUCCAAAUGGCACAAUGACGCGCAACCUAUACACAUAAGGAUAGGGGCUCGCACUAUACCCAAAACGGUUCAGCCCCUCCGCCCUUCCGGGUAACCUCUAAUAAGCUAGAAAAGUUCUUCAUACUGAGCUAAAGCCAGAGCCAUUAUAGCCCUCAUGGCUGCACUGUUGUCCCGGUGAUGACUUACAGACAAGAUCUCAUACAGUUAUUUGCCAUUCUUUUAACAUUCAUUGCAUAGCUAUUAAUCGCCUUACAAGAUCAUGGAUUAUAUC